GCCCCAGCCCGGCGGCGGCACCGGUUCGGGCGGCUGCUUGAAGCGCCGGGGCGUCCCGGGCAUGAGUGGGGUUUGGGGGGUCGGGGGGCCUCGGUGCCAGGCGGCGCUCGCGCUCCUGGCCUCGCUGUGCCGGGCCCGGCCGCCCCCUCUCGGGCUGGACGUGGAGACUUGUCGGAGCUUCGAGCUACAGCCCCCAGAGAGGAGUCCGAGCGCGGCCGACUCAGGCACCUCUGUCAGCCUCCUCGCAGUGGUAGUGAUUGUGUGUGGCGUGGCCCUGGUGGCAGUUUUUCUCUUUCUCUUUUGGAAGCUGUGCUGGACGCGCUGGAGGGGCAAGGAAGCCUCCAGUCCCACUUCUGCUAACCCUCCCCCGGAGGCCCUCCGGGGCCCCAGCUCCAGAGGCAACAUGGCAGACAAGCUGAAGGACAGCAGCACCCUGGGCUUCCUGGAGGCGGCUGUGAAGAUCAGCCACACGUCCCCGGAUAUCCCAGCCGAGGUGCAGAUGUCAGUCAAGGAGCACAUCAUGCGUCAUGCACGGCUGCAGCGACAGACCACGGAGCCAGCGUCAUCUACCAGGCACACGUCCUUCAAGCGCCACCUGCCACGGCAGAUGCACGUCUCCAGUGUGGACUACGGCAAUGAGCUGCCGCUGGCGGCAGAGCAGCCCACCAGCAUUGGCCGAAUCAAGCCUGAACUCUACAAGCAGAAGUCGGUGGACGGGGACGAUGCCAAGUCCGAGGCCGCCAAGAGCUGUGGGAAAAUCAACUUCAGCCUGCGCUACGACUACGAGAGCGAGACCUUGAUCGUGCGCAUCCUGAAGGCCUUCGACCUCCCUGCCAAGGACUUCUGUGGCAGCUCUGACCCCUACGUCAAGAUCUACCUCCUGCCUGAUCGCAAGUGCAAGCUGCAGACCCGGGUGCACCGCAAGACCCUGAACCCCACCUUUGAUGAGAACUUCCACUUCCCCGUGCCCUACGAGGAGCUGGCCGACCGCAAGCUACAUCUCAGUGUCUUCGACUUCGAUCGCUUCUCCCGCCAUGACAUGAUCGGAGAGGUCAUCCUAGACAACCUCUUUGAGGUCUCCGACCUGUCCCGGGAAACCUCCAUCUGGAAGGACAUCCAGUACGCCACAAGUGAAAGCGUGGAUCUGGGAGAGAUCAUGUUCUCCCUGUGCUACCUGCCCACAGCAGGCCGGCUCACCCUCACAGUGAUCAAAUGUCGGAACCUCAAGGCGAUGGACAUCACAGGCUACUCAGAUCCAUAUGUCAAAGUAUCCCUGCUUUGUGAUGGGCGGAGACUGAAGAAGAAGAAAACGACCAUAAAGAAAAACACUCUAAAUCCUGUCUACAAUGAAGCCAUCAUCUUUGAUAUCCCCCCAGAGAACAUGGAUCAAGUCAGUCUGCUCAUCUCGGUUAUGGAUUAUGAUCGAGUGGGCCACAAUGAGAUCAUAGGAGUCUGCCGUGUGGGGAUCAAUGCUGAGGGCCUGGGCCGGGACCACUGGAACGAGAUGCUGGCGUACCCGCGGAAGCCCAUCGCACACUGGCACUCCUUGGUGGAGGUAAAGAAAUCCUUCAAAGAGGGAAACCCUCGGUUGUGAUUUCAUUCACGUGGACGCUGCAAGCAGAGAGACUGUCACCUGGAGUUAGGAUGGCAGGGCCGGGCUGCCAGCUUUGACAGCGAGAGCUCGUGCCCGUCUCCGAAACCACCUCCCACACCAUGAGCUGUGCAACCGGGCGACACCAACGGGACUCAGCGACGCUCUUUUUUGCACUCGUUCAGCUGUCCAAACACAGUGUUGCGCAGGGGCAGCAGCAGCCGUAGCACGAGUCUUAACUGCUCCUGCGUGGGUCAAGGUCACGACCCUUGUCGUGUGGCCAGACCUGUCUUAGUCUUUCUUGUCUCCCAAGGUGAUGUUUUCUGUGGUUUUUCACUUCUUAUGGAUCUGCUGCCAAGAAGAGAAGGGGGGAAGAGUAGGAGAAAAAGAAGAGUAGAGAGCCCAGAAGCUGGUUCAUAUAAAAUACAACGUAAAAUAGUCUUCCCUUCUGGGGAGGUGGUGUGAUUUCCUUCAGUGUUGUGUCUCCACCAAGCUCCACAACCCUGGAGGAGAAGGACGUGGGAUGGAGUCAUGGCUGUGUCUGCAGUAGCCUGCAGAAAGGAGCAAAUCAGGCCAAGAGCCUUGACAAAGCUCUAGUUGUGACCCUUGGAAGCUCUCUGCCCCUGUGACACAGACCACGAUGCAGACUCCUCGCUCGUCCUACGGUGAAAUCACGAGCGCUCCGAGGUGUCCACGCAACUCCGCUGGUCGUGCAGGGCUCCUUGUGUCCCCAUCUGCCCCCGCUUCCUUGUUGACUUUCCUCAUCAUUUGAAAAUGUCUUGACUCCUCCUGAGAACUCAAACCCUCUCUUUAGGAACGAUUCUGCUGAAUCUAAACAUGCCGAAUGUUUUCUGGCACACCACAGUUAAAGACCAUAUUUGUUUGAACGCAGGGUCUUUGUUCUCAAAAGUAACCUUCGUUGUAAAGAAGAGAAGGCACACGUGUUUCAGAAUGACUUCUGUGUCGUGUGUAGCUUUAUGAAUUCCGUGAAGUAUCGAGCAACUGUGUAAAAAUGCCUACACAGAUCAAAGAAACACCUGCAUAAAAUGUUCUUUGGGGAAUGGGGUGUUUUAAUCCAAGUCACAGCUGGAAUCCAUCUUUCUGUGAAGAGAAUCUUCUCGAUUGAAACAAAGCCAGCUUAAGCCUAUUUCAGCCCCCUUGACUCUGGGACAGUAUUCAUCUUAAACUUUAGUUCUAUAGAUUACUAAGUACUUCAGUGUUUGUUUUAGUGGUAGUGAACGCUUCCCCCCCACCCCCUUUAGAUCUCUACCUUAGGCCAAAUUCAGUUUAGGAAAAAAAAAAAGUUUCAACUAUUCUGUAUUGUAAUAGUACGUUUCUGUUGAGUUCGUAGUGGUCUCCCCACCAACCACAUAUAACUCGGUUGAUUUCCUCAGUCUAUAGAGCCCUGGUAAAUUUGUGGAGGUGAGUUUCUACUUUAUCUGUGACUACACAAUGCCAGCUUCCAGAGUUGUGUGUGUGACUUGCAAGAGGCAAGUCUGCUGAAGAACCCCUUCUUCCACCAGGGGAAGGUCAAGAAGGGAAAAGCUAUUCACGCACCUUGUGUCUUAGUCUUUAUGUCACAUGCUUUAGAAGCAGAAACUCAAUAAAGUAACCCUCCCCUUCAGCCAAGUUAUCAGGUUUCUCUGCUGAUAGAACUGUAGGCACUGUCUUCUACCCAAAGUUCAGAUUGGGCGUGAGGAUGACCAGGAUAUUGUGGCCAGAGAAGUUUUCAGCUUAGAGAAGCAAAGGCAGAUACACCAAAUUCCACUCUGUACUGAGCCUUAGGCUAGGAGUUAAUGUGUCAUUGGUAUAGAGAUAGUUUUCUCCCCAAAUAUCUUGUGAUUGAGAAGCCAUCCUUGUCAGGCUGUACUGAGCUGGGUCUUCUUUUGAGAGUGAGACAAAAACCCAAAGUCACGACAAGACUCAGAGCAGGCCAUAAACUUCAUUCUGUCUCUUGACUCUAGACUGACCUUAUCAAGAUAAGAUGGCCAUCUCGAUCACUGAGCAGAGGCUGUGGGUCCUGCAACUAGGAAGGGGACAGUGGAGUUUCCUGGGUCAUGAGCAGCCCAGAAAUGAGUGUGAGAGGGUCUUUCCGGAAGUGAUUUCAAAACGCAUAUCCAGCUGCCAUCUUCAUACCCCUGGACACAUGAGGAUGACCACUUAACUCUUGGAGGAGGGAGGGUGAUCAGUGGAAUAGUUACUGCUCUCAGACAUCCCUUCUAUGUCCAAGCAGCUAACUCACACAAGUGAACCUCCCAGUGGUUUUGGGAAAUCAUUUCCUGAGCAGAUUAUAGUCAGCCCCACACUACCUACCCAACUGUUCCCGCUCCCACUGCAGCAGUCUUGGUAAAUUUCUACGGACUGGGAAGCCCACCCCAGGGAGGCUCUUGGCUCCAGGAGCCCCACCCCCCAGUGUCUUCUGGGGGGACUAGUCCUCAACCCAAAGCAUGAAUGAACCUGAAUGUCUGUAAACGUCAUUAUCUAGCCCAAUACUUCUUCCUCGCAGAUGAGAGUAAAAUGAAUUACAAGUUUCAGAAUAAAAUGAAAUACAAAGUCGAGUCAUUUGUUAGCUUCUCUGCCACAAGAAGCCUUUUUCUUGGGUUGGUGUUUUGAGCUUUGCUGAAGUCAUGAUAACCAAGGCCUUUUGCAUAUUGAUGUUUUUAAAAAAAAAUGCCAAGUUCUCUUCUUUAUUCAGCAGUUUUCUGGGCUGAAAGAUGCCCUCCCUUCCUUCGCAUACUCAGGAUAUUAAUUAAUUGCAACAUCAUUUAAAUAAUUAUGUUGUUAAUUACCGCUUCAUGUCUCCCGCCCUGUCACAGCCUGGAGUUUUUCUUCAAUUAAAUCUCUGUGUCUUGCCCAUUUCUCUUGUCAUCGUAUGUUCCUGAGGCUCAGCCGUCCGCAUACACAUAGGACACUGCACAGCUUUUGUCUUUAAGCGUUGUUUCCCAUAGAUAACCAGUUGCCUUCCAUCAGAGCUACCGUGGAAGGCUUGUUUAUUUUUUGUGCUGCCCAGAAAAUACCCUCAU